UUGACAGUCGAGAGAUAAUUUUCCUUUUUAAUCCAGAGAACAAGAGCCACUUGGGAAGUGACUAUAAAUGUCCUCUGGGUGUCCCAGAGAUAUGCCUCAUCCCUUUGCUGGAAGGAACACACCUCUGGGAAGAAAACAACUUUGAUCAGUCAUUCUCUUUGGAAAA
ensembl:misc_RNA